GGUAUUAUACUUUAAACAGAAGAUCUGCGUUGCAAGUAGUUAGUGGGAUAAUCCUUUUACCA
rnacentral:tRNA from 1 species